GAAAUCAGUUCAGCACUAAGUCACUUUGUCUAUAUGGCAAAUGUGAGAUGCAGUGUAUGGAACGUCAAUAUUCUAGUAUGAGAAAUUAACGAUUUAAGUCCUUCUUAAAUGAGGCCAUUUACCCAUAGAGGGUGCCAGGCCCGUAUAACGUUAAUGAUUAUUAGAUGAUGUUUCCAAAGAGUCGUGUUGCUUGAUAGUGCAGCACUAAGUGGGUGGUAAACUCCAUCUAAAACUAAAUAUAACCAUGAGACCGAUAGUAAACAAGUACCGUGAGGGAAAGUUGAAAAGAACUCUGAAUAGAGAGUUAAAUAGUACGUGAAACUGCUUAGAGGUUAAGCCCGAUGAACCUGAAUAUCCGUUAUGGAAAAUUCAUCAUUAGAAUUGUAAUAUUUAAUCAAUAUUAUAACGAUAGUGUGCAUUUUUUCCAUAUAAGGACAUUGUAAUCUAUUAGCAUGUAUGGAAUUUAUCAAACAAUUUUGAUAAGAGUUUAUUUAAAUUAGAGUGCUUGCAUUUUAACAUAGAAUAAAUUUCAAAAAUUUGAUAAAGUGCUGAUAGAUUAUAUGAGUACAGUGCGUUAAUUUUUCGGAAUUAUAUAAUGGCAUGAUUAUCAUUGAUUUUUAUGUUUAUUAUAAGCACUUGUAUGAUUAACAAUGCGAAAG
rnacentral:rRNA from 1 species